rnacentral:rRNA from 1 species
AUGGCCCAAGUCAGAAUAGUUUCCAACCUUGCUGAUGUUGAUGUUGCGCUUCAAGAUCUGCACAUCACUGAGAUGAAUCAAGCUGGUCUUGUUCGAUUUCAAUUGGAUGAGCAAGCCCCCCUUCAAGAAGAAGCAAAGAUCAAUGUGAAGACCCAUCCAAGAAGGCAUGGAUUCAUAUUGGUUAAUCCAGAGUUGUUGAAGUGCAAGUCUAGUGCCAAGACGGCACUAGAGACGUCCUUCAACACCAUGCUUGACGCAUCCCUGGAGCGGAUUGAUCAAGAGCUGCAGGGAGUUGAAGCAAGCAUCGUAGCACUGGAGGUCCUUGUGCUCUACGAUGACAAUCAGAUGGCACAUAAUGGACCUUCACUUGAAAGAAAUCGGGGAGUAGAACAUGCCAUCUAUCCACACCCUCAUUUCCCAAGAUUUCCUAAUUUUGAGCAUGGCACACACCAGCAGAGAGUCUCAUAUCAACCUACUUAUGGUACACAACAAGAGAGGGAUGAGGCAGCUGCUCGUGACAGGCGUGCCCAAAGGGCUCUCUGGCAUGCCAAACUCCGUAUUUUGAAGGCGAGGCAGUCCAUCUUGAAGGAGAGGAGGUCUGAGAUGAUGUCAAAGAUGAGGGUGGAGUUCAAGAGGAUUAUGGAGGAACAAUCUGACUUAGGGGCUGGUUACGCGGAUGAUGAAUUUCCUCCACUAGCGUAG